rnacentral:misc_RNA from 1 species
CGACAGUUCUUGUUAGAAACCCGUUCGGACGUGUUACAGUUUAAUUCAUUUUAGUUUGUUGUGUUUUGUAUUAAAUUUUAAAGAAAUUGGUGAAUUUUGUGUGCGAAAAAGUAUAAAAUAUCGUGUUCAAAUGUCCAGUGCAACAUUAAGUCGAUGAAUUAACUGCUGAAAAAAAAUCCAACUUCUCUUGGACAUACAACUGGAUGGUCUAGCUUCUAAUACUCACCAGAAUGACCCACCAAAGAAGCUACAUGCUCCAAAGAUUCCUGGAGUCUCAGUCGGGAAAGUUUAAGUUAGAAGAUUACAUUCCUCCAAAUAAACAGCAGAAAAAUCGUUUACCGGAAAAACCCGCCUGGUCCUCCGAGGAAGACGAAGCAAAUUUAGAAAACGACUUUUUGCCUAAAAAAACAUCACAACACCGUAUUGAUGAUGUUGAUGAUGACGAUUUAGGUCAAGAAACUGGCCUUAGAAGACGAUCAAUUUCAUGGAGUUCAAAAACGUGUCACGUAUCUAUUGUUGAACUUGAAGAGAAUCAGGAGGGACUCAAGGAGAGUACUAAAACGGAAAAGUAUAUGUGCAAAUAUGACCGUUUAUUAGAAGGCACUAAUAUUUCACAAGAAGAUAAGGGAACGAAAAUUGAUAAUUCACGUAAAAGUCGUCAGUCGAGAAUCGAUGAAUUUUUCAAGUCAAGCAGGCCAAUAACCAAACGGCGCAGGAAGGAGUUGAAAUUGACUCCUGAGAAGCCAGUUCAAUAUCCAUGGGAAAUAACCCGAAAAAGCACACAACAAGACAAACACAACAAUUUAAAUAAAAAAUCAGAAACAAUAGUAAGACCACAGCAAGAACCCUCAUUUCAGCAUAUCACUUGGACGAAAAAACGAUUUCAGCAAAGGACCAUUAGUAGCAGCAGCAGUGAUAGCAGCUCAGACCAAAUGCCAAAAAAAAGAGCAUGCUUGCCUCAAUCAUCAAGAAUCCAUAAACUAGAUGAACUUGAGGAGAAGCCUGUCUGUCCCAAGAAAAAUUCCUUGCUUCACGAAAAUAGGUUUCCAAGAACCCAAGCAGGAGAAAUUAAGGCGCAUCACAGGCGCUCAAGAACCGACUUGUCAAAUCAAUGUAUUCAAGAUAACUGGUUGAAGCAUGCUGGCUCUCAAAAGCUGGACCAAAAAAGGUUAAUCGCACCAACUAAAUCUUCAUCGCUCGAAGAAAUUUUGGCAAAGAACGGUCGUUUUAAUCAAUCGCCCUUUUCGAGCGAAGGUUUUCACGAAAUAUUAUCCCCCAAAGUACAAAACAUCGACUUCAAGGUUAACAAAUUUGGCACAAAAUUCAACAUUCCCAAAACCGCUUUGAAACCAUCCGAGAACUGUAGAUCUGUGGGCACUCAAACCUCGUUCAACCAUGAACCCGUGCCAAUCAUCAUACCAGAUAAUCAUACCAGUUAUACGAAAUAUGAACCAUUUAAUGAGACCGAUGAUGGCGCGUUACUGAAACAGUUGGGACUUAACGAUAAAGUUUUUUCUGGUUCUUUUCAGAACCUUUUGGAUGCGAGUCAACGAUCCGGUAAAACUCAAGAGACUCCUAAAAGUGAGAAGGUUUUAAAUAGUGAGGGUUCAUGCUUUAAGUUGCCUUAUAGUGAAAGUAUGAAGACGGACAUAAAAGGAGAUAUGAGCUGCCAAUCUUCCUGUAUGAAAACCUGCGAUUCCGCUGAAAUAAAGACCCCAAAACCUGAUGAGAAGAGUGACUCUAAAAAAAAAAUUCAUAUCAUUAGUGACUUUACGACUACCAUUAGCAACUUUCCCAAUAUAUUUGCCAUGUUUCAAGCGCCCGAUAUUUCUACCAGCGAACCGAUUAUCAAUGAAACAGCCCGGUCGGUUACCACGAAACCUGAUGAUGAUAAAACGCCUGCCGAAACCGAGGACAUAGACGAGGAAUUCGCCUUUACUCAAUCGCAAUUGAUAGUUAAAGAACCAGAAAGUAAUAUUUUACACGGGGCUAAUUUAUUGAAAGAACUAUUGCAAGAAAAAGCCGGCAUCGAGAGAAAAUUGGUUAAGAAUAAAUUGAAAUAUCAAUUCAAAAAAGAGGAUGAAAAAAAGGGGGUGCUGGCACAGACUUAUAUGAAAAAGUACAAAAAGGGCGAUUUAAAGAUAUAUAAGUUGAGUAAGAGAUUUGAAAAGCGAGAAAAGAGAUAUGUGCCUCCGGAGGAGCAAAUCAUGGAGAAUUUCAUGAAAAAAAUGGAGAGGGGGUUUGACGAUUGCUCGUCUGUUGAUAGCAACGAUAGAGCGGCGAGUGUUUCCACCCCUUUGUCUUAUGAAACAGACGAUACAAGAUCGGAAGUCCUCUCGACAGGCUCCUUAACACUCACUGACCCCCAAAAAUUACUACGCGAAGGCAUCAAUCGACUAUCAAAGGACGACUCUUUAUUGUUCUCCCGUUGGUCCGAUGAGGACACCGAACCUUUCAACAGACUGAAAAUCCUCAUAGAUGUUCAAGAAUUUAUUUGUCAACUUUUAGAGGACUACCAGAACGGACUGCGUCUCGCAUUUACGUACCCGAAAGUAAGGGGCAAUGUGAUGUUCGAAAAUAACAGAUAUAAAGUGAAAGAUAAGCAUAACGUCAUUUCGGUUAGCCGUAAUACCUUAAAGGCCCAAUGCAGAUUUAAUAUCUAUUUGUUUACUUUAAAUAAAGUUCGGAUGCUGCUGGAGACAAACACUAAGAUUUCCAAAAGGGAGCUAUAUUAUUUAUUAAAAAGUAAUAUUCCAAUAAAAUGCCAGUCCACUACAGAUUCCGUCGUUUAUUGUAUAUCCAGGAUGUUUAACGUAGGUGUAUGGGCGUUAAACAUAACGGCUCAGAAAGGAUUGGUUUAUGGCAAUUUGAAACUUGUCAUGGAAAAUGGGGAAACCCUUAACUGUAACGUGCCAACAGGUACCCUAAUACCUCACAGUCUGGAAGACAUUUGCGAGAUCCAGUCAGACGCCUAUUUCAUUAUUGUUGUGGAAAAGGAGGCGAUUUUUUAUAAGUUACUUGAGGAAAAUUUACCCAAGAGACUGACUAGACCAUUUAUCCUUGCCACUGGUAAAGGAUAUGCAGACCUGAAUACCCAAUUGUUUUUAAAGAAAUUAUGGAUGGUGCUGACGAUUCCGGUGUUUAUAUUAGUGGAUGCCGAUCCAGACGGGAUUUCUAUAAUGUUAAAUUACAGAUUUGGAUCUUUGUUUCAUCUAACUCAGUGAUUUAAUUAUAUAUUUUUAACAUAAACGACGUGCAAUGCCACCUCUAACUAAGCGAAUUUUCCAAUCAUUGGCGGACCUCUAUGCUGUCUGCACGCCUCCCUAUCAAACCUGCCUGACCUUACUCAAAAGUGCUAGCGAUGACAUUGUCACGGGUGGCUAGAUGCACUUAACCAAAAUAUGUCCAUUGUUAGUGCAAUUUCAAAGAGCGUUAAAAGUAAUGAACUGUUGAAAUCACCUAAAAAGAAGCGAUCUUAUGUUAAUUUUUGAUACGGGGGCAACUCGUGAGACUGUUUAUGAAAUGUACGAAAUUAAGCAAAAUAUGACUUUGGCAACGUUAUAUGUAAUACUAAGGGAAAAGCCACUAUUUGAAGGUUGUAAAACAUCUUUACGAAGUUUGAUAACGGAAAUAGGCUUUCGAUAAAAAAAAGACAAACCAAGGAGGAGUCUUAUGAAACUUUCCCACAAGGCUUUCAAACGAAUUGUUUUUUUUAAGCAUAUAUGAGAGAGAAAAAAGAAUAAAUUUAUCAUUUUGUUUAUCUUGAUGAAACUUGGAUUUUCCAAAAUGGUACUGUAAGUUGCUCUUGCCAGAAUAACAAAAGAAGUGUGAAAUCCACAAAAGUGGUUGGCAAAAGAUACAUAAUACUUCAUGCUGGUAAUGAACACAGAUUCAUUGAGGGUGCUGGACUAUUUUUUCUUCAAAAACUCAAUUAACUGAUUACCAUGUAGAAAUGAAUCAGCAAAACUUCCUAAAUUGGUUCGAAAAUCAAUUAUUAAAGAAUCUUACCCAAUCUUCAGUAACUGUGACGGAUAAUGCACCAUAUCACAGCAUGCUGUUAGAAAAAACACCAAAUUCUUCAUGGAAUAAGUCUUCCAUUUAAGAAUAGUUAAUCAAUAAUGAAAUUAAAUUUAAUCACCCAUAGACACAAACCAUCAAUGAAAUAUAUUGUAGAUGACAUGGCUAAUAAAUAUGGGCAUAAAGUCUUACGAUUGCCUCCAUGCCAUUGUGUGUUCAAUCCAAUCGAGCUUAUUUGGAGGAUUGCAAAGAAUUACUAUAACAGGCAUAUUGGUCGAGAUGAUGUUACAGAGAUUACUUGUUUGAAUGUGUGGAAGGAAUCACUUGGCACUGUUAUCCAGAAACAUGGAAUAACUCAGUAAGACAUACGGAAGAAGAAAUAAGAAAAUGGUACGAAAGAAAACAUGUAUAGGCUGAAUAUUUAACCGCUUAUUAUUAAUUUAGAUGAUAGUGAUUCUGAAAAUGAUUCAAAUUGCCAAGUGCUUUUUUUGGUCAAAAUAUUUAUAUUACUCUGUAUCGUCUGACCAUGGUCAGAAUAAUAGUUCUAAUAAUACAUUUCUUCGUUAAAAUAAAUUCAAAUAUAAUCAAACAUUUUAAAUGUAUGCCCCAAAAAUAUAUGAUAUUGAUUUAGUCAUUAUUUUCAUCAGUAAAUACAUAAAAGAAACCAAACCACGGCAUUUUGUAAAUUAUUAAUAAUAUGCUAUUUUUAUUAAUUUUUGUCUCCAUUCCAUGUCACUCAAGGGAUGUGACGUAAAUUGGAAAUUGUUUAGAUUUUUCUAUAUGUAUUAGGCGGGAUGAUCUUAUUACGGGGUUAUAACUUUCUGCGAACAAUAGCAUUUAUGUUCAGGGUCACUCUAAAAAUAUUAAAGUUAAUUUUCGUACCUUC